CCCAGCUCAGGGAGCUGAGGAAUGAGUUUUUACUCACCAGCCAGCAUGGGGCUGCCCCGUGCAGCAGAGCUGGAAUGGCUGCUCUGUGUUCUCUGCAGGCUUGGGGCUGGCAGCUCGCUCAGCCUGGGGAUGCCUUUCACUUGGAACUGAAACAAAAACAAAUCUCAGAGUCUUCCUGAGCUGCUGCUGUGACUGAACGAGGUGCUUCAUCCUCAGAAAUGCUCCCCUGGAUUUGUGUGCUCCAGGAGCUGGAAGAAUCAAAGCUGAUGGAGCCCCCAGCAGAUCUUGUCUCUCUGAGAUCUCCCGUGGGCUCUGCACUGGCUGUUUGAAGCAGGAUAAUAAGGAUGGAGGAGCUGCUCCCAGCUGCUUUUCCCCCUGGAGGAAGGAUUUCCAGCCAGGAGCCAGCCUGUCUGUGAGAGAAGCAUCUCAAUGGAUGAGAAGGUGCCAGCACUGUUGUAGGUGGCUCUUUGAAGUCUGCACAUUCUCUUCAGCCAGGACAGCCCAGAAUACAGCCUGGAAGAGAAGGACAGGGAGCAGGAGUUGAAAUUGCAGCUGAAUUCUGCAGAAUCAGGAGCUGCAGCCUGGCAGGUGGUGGACAGCUCUGAACUGCAGCUCUCAACGUGGCAAAUAAUGGUUGGGUUGGGUCAUUUUGGAGUGUAAAAGUUGUUUCUGCUCACUGGGGUAAGAGGCAGCAACAGGAUUAAAAGAUAUUUCCUACAGUUCUGCAGCCUCAGGUGGAGAAUGAGGAAAGGGGAGUAUGGAUGGGCUGUCUAUGAAAUAAAUACAAUAUAAAUA